rnacentral:rRNA from 1 species
GUAAGGAAUAUUGGUCAAUGGAGGCAACUCUGAACCAGCCAUGCCGCGUGCAGGAAGACGGCCCUAUGGGUUGUAAACUGCUUUUAUACGGGAAUAAACCUCUCUACGUGUAGGGAGUUGAAUGUACUGUAAGAAUAAGGAUCGGCUAACUCCGUGCCAGCAGCCGCGGUAAUACGGAGGAUCCAAGCGUUAUCCGGAUUUAUUGGGUUUAAAGGGUGCGUAGGCGGCCUAUUAAGUCAGGGGUGAAAGACGGUGGCUCAACCAUCGCAGUGCACUUGAUAGUGAUGGGCUUGAUGACACUUGAGGUAGGCGGAAUGUGACAAGUAGCGGUGAAAUGCAUAGAUAUGUCACAGAACACCAAUUGCGAAGGCAGCUUACUAAGGUGUCAAUGACGCUGAGGCACGAAAGCGUGGGGAUCAAACAGGAUUAGAUACCCGUGUAGUCC